GAUGAAGAACGUAGUGAAAUGCGAUAAGUAAUGUGAAUUGCAGAAUUCAGUGAAUCAUCGAAUCUUUGAACGCACAUUGCGCCCGCCAGUAUUCUGGCGGGCAUGCCUGUUCGAGCGUCAUUACAACCCUCAGGCCCCCGGGCCUGGCGUUGGGGAUCGGCGGAGCCCCCCGUGGGCACACGCCGUCCCCCAAAUGCAGUGGCGGUCCCGCCGCAGCUUCCAUCGCGUAGUAGCUAACACCUCGCGACUGGAGAGCGGCGCGGCCACGCCGUAAAACACCCAACUUCUGAAUGUUGACCUCGGAUCAGGUAGGAAUACCCGCUGAACUUAAGCAUAUCAAUAAGCGGAGGA
rnacentral:misc_RNA from 1 species